GGCAGGUUUUCUUCUCUCCCAUGUUCAGGAU
rnacentral:piRNA from 1 species